UUCCGGUUGAUCCUGCCAGAGGCCAUUGCUAUCGGAGUCCGAUUUAGCCAUGCUAGUUGCACGGGUUUAGACCCGUGGCGAAAAGCUCAGUAACACGUGGCCAAGCUACCCUGUGGACCGGAAUAACCUCGGGAAACUGAGGAUAAUUCCGGGUAACGCUCCCUCACUGGAAUGUGGGGAGCUGGAAACGUUACGGCGCCACAGGAUGCGGCUGCGGCCGAUUAGGUUGACGGUGGGGUAACGGCCCACCGUGCCCAUAAUCGGUACGGGUUGUGAGAGCAAGAGCCCGGAGACGGAAUCUGAGACAAGAUUCCGGGCCCUACGGGGCGCAGCAGGCGCGAAACCUUUACACUGCACGACAGUGCGAUAGGGGGACUCCGAGUGCGAGGGCAUAGAGCCCUCGCUUUUCUGUACCGUAAGGUGGUACAGGAAGAAGGGCUGGGCAAGACCGGUGCCAGCCGCCGCGGUAAUACCGGCAGCCCAAGUGAUGGCCGAUAUUAUUGGGCCUAAAGCGUCCGUAGCUGGCCGGACAAGUCCGUUGGGAAAUCCGCACGCUUAACGUGCGGGCGUCCAGCGGAAACUGUCCGGCUUGGGACCGGAAGACCCGAGGGGUACGUCCGGGGUAGGAGUGAAAUCCUGUAAUCUCGGACGGACCACCUGUGGCGAAAGCGCCUCGGGAAGACGGAUCCGACAGUGAGGGACGAAAGCCAGGGUCUCGAACCGGAUUAGAUACCCGGGUAGUCCUGGCCGUAAACGAUGUCCGCUAGGUGUGACGCAGGCUACGAGCCUGCGUUGUGCCGUAGGGAAGCCGUGAAGCGGACCGCCUGGGAAGUACGUCUGCAAGGAUGAAACUUAAAGGAAUUGGCGGGGGAGCACUACAACCGGAGGAGCCUGCGGUUUAAUUGGAGUCAACGCCGG
rnacentral:rRNA from 1 species